UACGUAGGGUGCAAGCGUUGUCCGGAAUUAUUGGGCGUAAAGAGCUCGUAGGCGGCUUGUCGCGUCGUCCGUGAAAACCUGCAGCUCAACUGCAGGCUUGCGGUCGAUACGGGCAGGCUAGAGUUCGGUAGGGGAGACUGGAAUUCCUGGUGUAGCGGUGAAAUGCGCAGACUAUCAUCAGGAACUCCGGUGGCGAAGGCGGCUCGCUGGACCUCUUCUGACGCUGAGGCGCGAAAGCCAGGGGAGCAAACGGG
rnacentral:rRNA from 1 species